UACGUAGGGGGCAAGCGUUGUCCGGAUUUAUUGGGCGUAAAGCGCUCGCAGGCGGCCCGAUGCGUCGUGCGUGAAACACCCCGGCUCAACUGGGGAGGGUCGUGCGAUACGGUCGGGCUUGAGGCCAGUAGGGGGAUGCGGAAUUCCGGGUGUAGUGGUGGAAUGCGUAGAGAUCCGGAGGAACACCAGCGGCGAAGGCGGCAUCCUGGACUGGUACUGACGCUCAUGAGCGAAAGCGUGGGGAGCGAUCCGGAUUAGAUACCCGGGUAGUCCACGCUGUAAACGAUGAGAACUAGGUGUCGGGGGUAUCGACCCCCUCGGUGCCGAAGCUAACGCGAUAAGUUCUCCGCCUGGGGACUACGGCCGCAAGGCUAAA
rnacentral:rRNA from 1 species